CUAACCCCUAGUCCUGACAGUUUUUAAAAAUAUCUAUAAAAAUGUCUCAGUAACCGCAGCUUCGUUAUACUGGUGUAUAGAGGCGGCGGGGAGACCCUCAAAAUACAAUUUUAGACACGGCUCCUUCUGAAAACUACUAUAAAUGACAUGUUUCUAGAGUUGCCGAAAAUCAAAUUUAUACCAGCGUAAUUAAUACCAAUACGUACCAAGUACCAUAUAGACCAAUGAAAUUUCCCACACAAGCGACAAGCGCUACAGGAUUCUAAGACUUUGCCGAGUGCUCGAGCACUCGGCAAAGGCUUUGCCGAGCGCCCACUCGGCAAAGGCCGCUCGGCCAAGAAUUAAUCAGCAAAAAGAUUCUUUGCCGAGUGCCACGUGUCAGGCACUCGGCAAAGGCUUUGCUGAGUGCCACAUCAGCACUUGACAAAGACAAAAAAUGAAAAAAAUCCCAACA
rnacentral:lncRNA from 1 species